AUUGAACGCUGGCGGCAGGCUUAACACAUGCAAGUCGAGCGGUAGCACAGGGGAGCUUGCUCCAUGGGUGACGAGCGGCGGACGGGUGAGUAAUGUCUGGGAAACUGCCUGAUGGAGGGGGAUAACUACUGGAAACGGUAGCUAAUACCGCAUAACGUCGCAAGACCAAAGAGGGGGACCUUCGGGCCUCUUGCCAUCAGAUGUGCCCAGAUGGGAUUAGCUAGUAGGUGGGGUAAUGGCUCACCUAGGCGACGAUCCCUAGCUGGUCUGAGAGGAUGACCAGCCACACUGGAACUGAGACACGGUCCAGACUCCUACGGGAGGCAGCAGUGGGGAAUAUUGCACAAUGGGCGCAAGCCUGAUGCAGCCAUGCCGCGUGUGUGAAGAAGGCCUUCGGGUUGUAAAGCACUUUCAGCGAGGAGGAAGGUGGUGAACUUAAUACGUUCAUCAAUUGACGUUACUCGCAGAAGAAGCACCGGCUAACUCCGUG
rnacentral:rRNA from 1 species